GACGGGGGGUCCAAGCGUUGCUCGGAAUCAUUGGGCGUAAAGAGGGCGUAGGUGGCUUUGUAAGUCAGGAGUGAAAGCCCUGGGCUCAACCCAGGAAGUGCUUUUGAUACUGUGAAGCUUGAGUGUGGUAGAGGAUAGUAGAAUUCCUGGUGUAGUGGUGAAAUACGUAGAUAUCAGGAGGAAUACCUGUGGCGAAGGCGGCUAUCUGGACCAACACUGACACUGAGGCCCGAAAGCGUGGGGAUCAAACAGG
rnacentral:rRNA from 1 species